rnacentral:rRNA from 1 species
UACGUAGGGUGCGAGCGUUAAUCGGAAUUACUGGGCGUAAAGCGUGCGCAGGCGGUAUGCAAGACAGAUGUGAAAUCCCCGGGCUUAACCUGGGAACUGCGUUUGAAACUGGAAGGCUAAGAGUUGUGGCAGAGGGGGGGUGGAACUUCCAUCGUGGUAAGCAGGUAGUAAAAUGCGUGUAGAAUAUGUGGAUGGAACACCGAUGGCGAAGGCAGCCCCCUGGGGCUAACAUCUGAGCGCUUCAUGCACGAAAGACGUGGGGAAGCAAACAGG